AUAUAGAGAUGCUGUGGAUCAAGUGUAGAGUUGUAUGAAUGUAUG
rnacentral:guide_RNA from 1 species